GACGAACGUUGGCGGCGUGCUUAAUACAUGCAAGUCGACUGAAGCGGCGGUAGCAAUAUCGCUGUGGAGGUGGCGCACGGGUGAGUAACACGGAGGUUAUCCGCCUUCAGGUCUGGCGUUACUCCGAGGAACCGGGGCUAAUAACAGGUGAUGCAGCGGCUCGGCAUCGAGGGGGUUGGUAAAGCUAUGGCGCCGGGAGAUGAGCCUGCGUCUGAUUAGCUGGUUGGCGGGGUGACGGCCCACCAAGGCAACGAUCAGUAGCUGGUCUGAGAGGAUGAUCAGCCACACGGGAACUGAGACACGGUCCAGAAUCCUACGGGAGGCAGCAGUAAGGAAUAUUGCUCAAUGGGAGAAAUCCUGAAGCAGCAACGCAGCGUGAGGGACGAAGGGCGUGUGCUUGUAAACCUCUGUAGUGAGAGAAAAAAAUCCCAAUCUUGGGGACAUGACGGUAACUCAAAAGUAAGCCCCGGCUAACUACGUG
rnacentral:rRNA from 1 species